rnacentral:rRNA from 1 species
AAUAUUGGACCAUGGGCGCAAGCCUGAUCCAGCCAUGCCGCGUGAGUGAUGAAGGCCCUAGGGUUGUAAAGCUCUUUCACUGAUGAAGAAAAUGACUGUAGUCGGAGAAGAAGCCCCGGGUAACUUCGUGCCAGCAGCCGCGGUAAUACGUAGGGGGCUAGCGUUGUUCGGAAUUACUGGGCUUAAAGGGCACGUAGGCGGGUAUUUAAGUCAGGGGUGAAAUCCCGGAGCUCAACUCCGGAACUGCCUUUGAUACUGGGUACCUAGAGUAUGGAAGAGGUAAGUGGAAUUCCGAGUGUAGAGGUGAAAUUCGUAGAUAUUCGGAGGAACGCCAGUGGCGAAGGCGGCUUACUGGUCCAUUACUGACGCUGAGGUGCGAAAGCGUGGGGAGCAAACAGG